GCACCGAUGGUCCAGCGGUAAGACUCUUGCCUGCCUAGCAAGGAACCCGGGUUCGAAUCCCGGUCGGUGCACCA
rnacentral:tRNA from 1 species